GACGGUCCAGCGGUUGCCCGGCCGUAAAACCCCCCCAAC
rnacentral:rRNA from 1 species